rnacentral:misc_RNA from 1 species
CCGGACGGCGUUUACCCGAAUUCGCUGAUGGGCUGCAUCGCGCUGAUUCGCCAGAGCUUCCUCGACGGCGCGUGGUAUCAGGCGGCGCAGGAUGCGUAUCGGAAGAACCCGGGCGCAACGGAACGUCCGGAGGCGAACGCCAGCCUCGCCGCGCUUGCCGAGCAUGCGCAGCGAAAACAACCCGC